AACGAACGCUGGCGGCAUGCCUAACACAUGCAAGUCGAACGAGACCUUCGUGUCUAGUGGCGCACGGGUGCGUAACGCGUUGUAACCUUCCCUUAUGUUCGGAAUAACUCCCCUACUGGUGUUCUUAUACCGGCUAAUGUCUUCUGACCAAAGAUUUAUCGCCUUUUGAUGGGCCCGCGUUGGAUUAGCUUGUUGGUAGGGUAAAAGCCUACCAAGGCGACGAUCCAUAGCUGGUCUGAGAGGAUGAUCAGCCACACUGGGACUGAGACACGGCCCAGACUCCUACGGGAGGAAGGAGUGGGGAAUAUUGGAAAAGGGGCGAAAGCCUGAUCCAGCAAUGCCGCGUGAGUGAUGAAGGCAUUAGGGUUGUAAAGCUCUUUUAAACGGGAUGAUAAUGACAGUAACGGGAGAAUAAGCACCGGCUAACUACGUG
rnacentral:rRNA from 1 species